GGGGCUGUGGCGCAGUUGGGAGCGCGCGUGACUGGCAGUCACGAGGUCAAGGGUUCGAAUCCCUUCAGCUCCACCA
rnacentral:tRNA from 1 species